rnacentral:rRNA from 1 species
AUUGAACGCUGGCGGCAUGCCUUACACAUGCAAGUCGAACGGCAGCACGGGAGCAAUCCUGGUGGCGAGUGGCGAACGGGUGAGUAAAGCAUCGGAACGUGCCCAGUCGUGGGGGAUAACGUAGCGAAAGCCACGCUAAUACCGCAUACGAUCUGUGGAUGAAAGCGGGGGACCGUAAGGCCGAGAGCGCUUGGGUCGGCCGAUGUCAGAUUAGGUAGUUGGUGAGGUAAAGGCUCACCAAGCCGACGAUCUGGAGCUGGUCUGAGAGGACGACCAGCCACACUGGGACUGAGACACGGCCCAGACUCCUACGGGAGGCAGCAGUGGGGAAUUUUGGACAAUGGGCGCAAGCCUGAUCCAGCAAUGCCGCGUGCAGGAUGAAGGCCUUCGGGUUGUAAACUGCUUUUGUACGGAGCGAAACGGCUUCCACUAACACUGGGGGCUAAUGACGGUACCGUAAGAAUAAGCACCGGCUAACUACGUGCCAGCAGCCGCAGUAAGAC